rnacentral:lncRNA from 1 species
GGGGUAGUGGCGGGGGUAAGCUACCGCACCUGCCCGCGCCCUCCUAGCGCCCGCAUAACGCGCGCCGCCUCGCCAAGGUGUCGUCCCUGGAGGCGCCGCGGCGCAGCGCGGGCGGAGGCGCGGCGGCGCGGUUGGAGCCGGAGCGGCGCUCGCUGGACCUGGAGCGCGAGCUGCGCGCCGCCACCGACCGCCGCGACCACCACCUCGUCUGAUGCUGCGCCGCCGCGGGACGCCCACCAGCGCGGUACACCCCCGUGUUCUGACUACUGCAGGGGUUAGAGACGGUUGGCUCGUUUGGAACCUUCUAGAAAUAAUUGGCUAAGUUCCUGACGAGACAGUUUUUGCGAGGCUUAGAGUUUCGAUCAAAAGUCGUUUUACAAGGCUAUUCGAAGAAGGUUGGCAGUUUUUCGGGGAAAAAUAGACAUUUUUUGCAGGGAUUAAAAGUUUGUGGAUCAACAACAGUUGACUGUUUGCUAAAAAGCUUCGACUGUUUGGCUGUUUUUGGGGAUAAGGAAAAAAUAUAGUUUUUUUUUUUUGUUGGUAGUAAAGGAGUCAAUGAGGGAUAAAUAGUCAGUUUUAAAAGUUUAAGUAUAAGUGUUGAAGUUUCAAAAUCAACGAAACAGUCAAUAAUUGCCGGAGUGAAUCCAAAUAAUUAAUUCUUUGUAAUCCCGUUAGUAGAUAAUUAAAUUUGUGUGAAUGUGGACAAACCUACAGUAACUUUGAUAAAAACAGCUUUUAAACGAAGUGAGAACAUAAACUGAUAUAAAUAGCAAUAUAAAAUAAGUGUAAAAAGCAAUAAUUUUCUGUGACCUUUAGAAACACUGCCUUUUUUAUUACAAAUACCUAGUAUAUAAAACUGCUACUUACUGCCCUGCAUACGUUACGCUAUCUACGUAGACGCGACAAGUACUCAAUUCGACUAAUAGACAAAUUUUGUAUUAUUGGUCGAAUACAGCGAUAAGUGUCGCGUCGCGCGCGAUAUGUAACGAAUGCGACAAGGGUUGUUAUCAUGCCAACCUCUCUAAACCCCUUUGGUAGUUGAACAAUGACCUCGGUUGUAUCGACAAACGCGUGUGUGAUAGUGUUGUGUUGCAGUCACUGCCUUAUAUUGAACCUUGUAUAGUUCUACUGAUAACAGUAAACUGUUGUUUGUGCAAGAACAAACUUAAAUAGUAUAUAACCCUCCUUUUUGCCACAGUCGGGUAAAAGUUACGUGACUUUUGCAAGCCAUACGAGCUUUAAAAGGAAUUAAUUGUAACAUUAAGCUGAUUCUGGCGAACGAAACUAAAUUUUAAUUUAGUGUGACCGUUUUAAAACUAGUGCCUACCUAGUAGGGACCUACUUACAAUAAGUGCAGAAAGAGAGAGAGCUAGUUUUGGAUCUGGAAAACUAAAUUGAAAUUAAGUUUCCCGAAUCGGCACCAGUGUUUAAACUGUUUUAUAAUUGUUUCUUUUAAGUAGUAUAAUUGUAAUAAUUCGCUACUAAAUAUAUAUAUAGCGUUAUACAACGCUAAGUUUAACAAUCUAGUCGCGAUAAAAUUGUCGUUAACGUUUUACGUAACGUCUUAUUCUCGACAACAAUCUUAUGGCGGCCAUUUUGUUUCAUUUCAACAAAGUACAGUGGUUCUAAACAUUUUCACAGAAGAAUCAAAAAGUAAUAAAAAAUGAUUCUUUUACGUCGACACGUUUCUCCGACCAUUAUUAAAGUAAUCGUGUCGUUUUGACAGAAUCAUACAUACAUAAAUUCACGUGUGUAUUGCUUAUCGAGGUGCGACAAGUAUAUAUAAUGGAAAUUAAGCCAGAAUUUAAAGAGAAAGUGAGUGUUGAAGUAUUUUAAGUUUGUUUAAAUAUUAAAUACGAACAAAGUAUUAGAGCACAAUAAUUUGGUUCCUAUUUUUUUAAAUUUUGAAUGUACGGGCGGCAAUAUAAGGCAGGGAUGUGACAAGAUUUGGCGGCGUGCUAAACUCCAGUGCAUAAAGGCAAAAUGAUCUCAAUAAUAAAAAUAAAGACUAUGAUAAUAUGGACGUUUAGUGGAAUUGUGCGUACUAACGUGUUUUCUAUGUAAUAUACAUGUUUGGGCGAUGUUAGUGCCUCGUAAGUCUGCGUAGUUAUAGAACUUCGACCACUAGUAAGGGACUCCCUUACAUUAUACCGAAACGAUUUUUCGAGAGUGCAAUUUUUGUAUUAGCUUCGCUGUGAGAAUUCGUAGAAUCUUGAUACUUGUAACUCAAGAUUUUAACAGAAUUUUUUCACGUUGGCAUGUACUAAACUAUGCUUGGUGCGGGGUUUCCGAAGAUUCCUUUCGAGUAUUUAGCAAUUUGUAUAAAAAAAAAAAACAUCAGAAAGUUCUCUAUGUAUUGAAUGGCUCGACAAAUAUUUUUUUUACUGUUUUUUCGGCCUGAAAUCUUGCAUACGUACACGAAAUCAUAUUUGGAACAUUACGUUCCUAAAUUUACAAUGCUCACGCCAGAAUUCCCUAUUGGGAUGGAUAGAGACACGAUUCUUCCUAAGAUAGAUAUAAAGUUUAAUUUUAAAAUAAAUUAUUGAUAUUAUUUUAACAAAAUGUUCAUGUUAUAAAAAAUCUCCGAAACCCAGUUCCAAGUGUCGUUUCCACCUCACGAGCGAAUUUUUUUUUAUAUAUGUAAAAAAAAGAAACUUCACUCUCGAAACCGUAGUAUUAAGCGAACUAUUAUUGUGUGUGACUAAAAUAACGUAACAAUUUUCUACACAAUCUGUCAUUUUUUUUAAUUUUAUUUUUUAUAAUUCGAUUUUUUUCGUUUAAGUUUUACUUAGUAGUUGAUUUCAAGUGAUAUGACGAAGCUAUCAUUACGGCGUGACCUUAUAGUCGGAAUUCUUAAAGGAUAUAAGGGUAGAUAGUUAAAAGGCCUUUUAAGCUAGUUAAAGUAAGCUGUGCGAUUUUUUUUGUGGAUAUAGCAUAGUGGAUGUUGUAACAAGUAUAUUAUGUCAGCGUCACCCAAACUGUCGCGAACCACCCCAUUUUUGUACGACUUAAUACGUUUUUCCUAUUUUCUUUCAUAAGUCAGUCACAUAUAGAGCUAGGGAUGAUUGUCAAAAUGUCGUUAUCUGAGACGGUUCCGAGAUAAACGAAUCGUUUUUUUCUUCUUUUUCGAAUAUAAAAUUAUAUAUAUAAAUACAAAACACAAUAUAAAACACAGAUUCGUGGUUGUCAAAGUAAGUAAUGUAACAAAUGUACUGUCUACGUGCUGUAGUGAAGAUACUAUAAUAUUUUGUCUUAAGAUAAGAGAGAGAGACAAAUGUAGCUUAAGCACAAGAGUGAGAGAGACAGCAUCAUAAUGCUUUCUACGUCACUCUCGUAAGUAACUUAUAUCUUUCUCUUUUUUUAAAGUAGAAUAACCACCACCUUUACACCACCCCUAACAUACACGUUUCUUUUGGGACAACGCACAUUAUUUCUCUCAAUGGUUUGACAAUAAUGACAAUACUCUCUCAAUCAUACUACCCGCAUUUCUCUCACCUAUUCGCCCAUUACCUCUCACAGUUUGGGAAACGCUGUCCUACAUUGGAUAUAGAAGCGAUGCGCUUAGUAUUCAAACAAUAAUUGAAUACAUUUUGUAUCCUCUGCCAUAUGUAUAUGGGAAGUUACAUUUACAUAUUUUUAAGUACAGUUUUGGUAAUCCAGCAUUAUUAUUAUGACUUGUGGUUCCUUUAACACUGACUCGUCAAACAUAUCAAGGCAUUUAAUGCUCAUCCAGUAACGCAUAGACAAUUUAUUUAUAACUAAAAAUACAGUUUGUGCAAUAAGAUUACUUAAAGGUUUUUAUUUUUUGAUGUGGGGACGUGCUAAACCUUUGCCCUCGUACAAAGUAUAAAUAUUGUACAGUAACAACACUAAAAAUAGUUACUGUUUCAACACUCAUUAAACAAGUUGUUUAUAAAAUAAUUCGUCUUUGUAACGUGUCAUUAUAUAGUACUAUUUUCUGUCCCCACGUCCAAUUUCCCUUGAACAAGAACAAAAUAUCGAGUUAAGUGUUCAGACAAGCUUCGUGCAAUAGGUUUGACUUGUUAAAAGUAUGUGUUUAUUUGUCUUCCUUAUUCGUAUUCGUAAAAAGGCCUACAUGUGUAGUGUAUAUUCAGAUACAAAUGCAUUUUUAUUUUGGAUUUAUUAGUUUUAGUUGAUUUUCGAUAUGUAUUUAGUACAUACCUACUUAUAUUUACGAAACGUAUUAUUGUUUAAUGAAAUUUGUAUUUUCAAGUGUAGCUUUAUCUAAUCUACCCAGCGGAAUGUAACUAAUGAGGCGAAGGAGGUUUACGAAAUUGACCGAUUGAUUGAAAUAUAGUUAUAUUGUAGUGUGCUUACUGUAUGUAUAUACUUUGCAAAUAUAAGUGAUGUCUAUAUAAGUUCCGAAACUUUGUUUUCUCAUCAAAUGUUGAUUUUUAAAUGGUAAAUCGAACUUGUAACGCGCGGUUAGUUUCGUAAGCGUCCCUUAAUUUUUUAUCCUUUGACUGUAUCACACUAUACUCAAAAUGGCAUUUUAGUUUGGAUAAUAAGUUGACUGCCUUCGUUAUUAUUACUAUGCUCAAUAGUUUAAUUUUAAUUGUCUGGAUUUCUCUAGUACAGUCAAUGUCGGGAACAGAUUUCGACGCGAGAGGCUAAACUUACUAACUUACUAACGUCAUUAUUAUAAAAAAAAACUCUUAACAAAAAAUAAGAUUAGUCUACAAGCCAAAAAUCGGUGGGAAUGUUCGGUAGAGCUCGUAUACUUACGUCGAAUGUUCUUAAAAACACUGCCCAUUUAGCAAAGACUCCUUAGUUUCCAACUUGACUGUGCUAUAAACUGACAUUAGUUUAUUUUUACCCGAAUAGCGGUUUAAGGUAUUUAGUCAAUUAUUGUAUAGCUUUUUUUUUUAAUUUUACAUUGUACGGGCUGAGACGAGUCAAUUCCUUCAGCCAAUUCUCAAAUUGUGAUAGCUUAUGUUCUAUCUUCUGAAGUUUUUCUUUAACCUUAUUAUGUGAAUAUCAGCGUUGUAAAAUAAAUAUGAUAUUGUAUAAAUAAUCGUUUUUGUUUCGUGUAUAAUAUAAUUUUUUUGAAACCAAUUGAUGAUAAACCAAGUCUUGUAAUUAUUUAUGGAUAUUCCCUUGGUGGACAGAAUUGGCAACUUUUGACAGUUCUAUACCCAUUAAGCGAACGUCGCAUUUAAUUUUAGAACGGUUUUAUUACCUAUGGUUUAUGGCUAAUUUUAAAUUCAUAUUUCGACCAAUAACGUGAUUCUAUCCAAUGUUGACAUUUACAUGAAAAAGGUGUUUUCUAGGCCACUCUUGCACAUAAGCUAUCUACUUGGCAUCGACCAGUAUUAAAUCAUUUCACUUUCUUACUAGGGUCACUGUAGACUUUAAAAAAAAGAAUUAGUUAUAUGCCUUCUCCUUUCAACCUGCGAUUAAAGUGAGCGUUAAAAAGAGAUGGUUAUAUAACAAAUUGGCGCGUAAAUUCUAACGUCACUCUGUGAUCCGCCAACUUAUUUUCAGUGUUGCCAACUGCCAAGCACAUUUAAUUCUUAAGUCUCAUUUGCUAUCACAGUUUUUAUAGCGAACAAUUGCUAUAACUAGUGACUAUUAGCUUUUGUUCAACCGCAUUUGUCUUAUACCUAUAGUUUUGUGAAAAAUUGUGUUCUCAUUUUGUAUGUAAUGCUGAAGUUUCGUCUUGAAACUAGUAGCGACAAUGUGAAUACUAUACAAUUUAAAUAAAUGAAUUAUAUAAAUA